AUUGAACGCUAGCGGCAUGCUUAACACAUGCAAGUCGAACGAGUGGCGGACGGGUGAGUACUGUCUGGGAAACUGCCCGAUGGAGGGGGAUAACUACUGGAAACGGUAGCUAAUACCGCAUACUAUUAGAUGUGCCCAGAUGGGAUUAGCUAGUUGUUGGGGUAACGGAUCACCAAGGCGACGAUCCGUAGCUUGUCUGAGCGGAUGACCAGCCACACUGGAACUGAGACACGGUCCAGACUCCUACGGGCGGCAGCAGUGGGGAAUAUUGGACUAUGGGCGCAAUCCUGAUGCAGCCAUCCCGCGUGUAUGAAGAAGGCCUUCGGGUUGUAAAGUACUUUCGGCGGAGAAGCGUUACCCGCAGAAGAAGCACCGGCUAACUCCGUGCCAGCAGCCGCGGUAAUUC
rnacentral:rRNA from 1 species